rnacentral:rRNA from 1 species
AUUGAACGCUGGCGGCAUGCUUUACACAUGCAAGUCGAACGGUAACAGGGAGCUUGCUCCGCUGACGAGUGGCGAACGGGUGAGUAAUGCGUCGGAACGUGCCAAGUAGUGGGGGAUAACGCAUCGAAAGGGGUGCUAAUACCGCAUACGUACUGAGGUAGAAAGUGGGGGACCUUCGGGCCUCACGCUAUUCGAGCGGCCGACGUCUGAUUAGCUAGUUGGUGAGGUAAAGGCUCACCAAGGCGACGAUCAGUAGCGGGUCUGAGAGGAUGAUCCGCCACACUGGGACUGAGACACGGCCCAGACUCCUACGGGAGGCAGCAGUGGGGAAUUUUGGACAAUGGGCGCAAGCCUGAUCCAGCCAUGCCGCGUGUCUGAAGAAGGCCUUCGGGUUGUAAAGGACUUUUGUCCGGGAGCAAAUGCUGGUGGCUAACAUCCACCGGAGCUGAGAGUACCGGAAGAAUAAGCACCGGCUAACUACGUGCCAGCCGCCGCGGUAAUAC